rnacentral:rRNA from 1 species
CAAAGGAAUUGACGGGGAGCACCACAACGGGUGGAGCUUGCGGUUUAAUUGGAUUCAACGCCGGAAAUCUUACCGGGACCGACAGCAAUAUGAAGGCCAGGCUGAAGACUUUGCCGGAUUAGCUGAGAGGUGGUGCAUGGCCGUCGUCAGUUCGUACUGUGAAGCAUCCUGUUAAGUCAGGCAACGAGCGAGACCCACGCCCACAGUUGCCAGCGUACUCUCCGGAGUGACGGGUACACUGUGGGGACCGCCGCUGCUAAAGCGGAGGAAGGAAUGGGCAACGGUAGGUCAGUAUGCCCCGAAUAUCCCGGGCUACACGCGAGCUACAAUGGUUGGUACAAUGGGUAUCUACCCCGAAAGGGGACGGGAAUCUCCUAAAACCAAUCUUAGUUCGGAUUGAGGGCUGCAACUCGCCCUCAUGAAGCUGGAAUCCGUAGUAAUCGCGUUUCAACAGAACGCGGUGAAUACGUCCCUGCUCCUU